UUUUGAGCCCCGGGGUCCAAGACAUCUGCAUCCUAACUGCUGCUGCUGCUGCUGGUUCAGAGGCCACAUCAUGAGAACUGCUGACUGGGCAGUGAUACCGAAGAAUGUGAUCUGGUUAAGAUGAGGUCACACCGGAGUAGAGCAGACCCAGUCCAGUGACGUGUCCUUAAAAGAAGAGGAAAUCUGGACAUAGACAUACAAGGUUGUAACGACAGAGGCAGCAACUGGAGAGAUUCACCAUGGAUGCCAGCCAGCACCAGACCCUGGCAAAGAGGCCUGGAACACACUCCCCAUCUGAGCCUCCAAAGGGGAACCAGGCCUGCCAACAUCUGGAUUUCAGACCUCUGGCCUACAGAACACAGAGAAGUGCAGGUCAGCGUCCAUGGCACAUUGGCCCAGAGGCCACUGGUGGCUGCAUGCUGGACUGGGCUCCCCAUCCUUGGACUAGUAACUGGAAGGUUUGCUGCAUUUCUUCCCUCACUGUCCCGAGAUUACUUCUCAGGUGUCCAGGGCCCCUGGAGAUCCGAAAUCAGGUCUCCCCAGGAAAGGGAGGGGAGGCUGGUACCCCGGCUGCUGCUAGGCCGCACAGUCCAUGUUAACCACCUCAAGGAAGCAGGGGAGGGACAGAUGGGGCAAGAUGCAUCCCAGGCCACCCAGGAGUCCUAGGCCCCAAGCCCUGUGUGCACACCCACGACCCCUGGAAGAGGAGCUCCAUGGGAUUUGUGGGCCCACUGUGGGGACACCCUUUCUCUGCUUCCACAGAUCCCAGCUUCGAGGGCUAUGCAGUUGCUGCCUGGCCUCUCCGGCCCCAGAGCUAUGGCCAGCGGCCCACCUGUUAUCCUUACUAGGGUGCCUCCAGCACCUGGGCAGUGGGCUCUCAUACCCCUCAUUUCAGACAGGUGUCCAUCCCAGCGUCCACCCAGUGCCCCCGCAGGCCCCCCUGCACCCGUGGGAGUCAGCUGCCCACACUGGUUGGGCCCCUGCUGCAGCCUGGCUUUGAUGCAAAAGCAAAAAUCCUUCCCCAGGGAACCCCACAAGCUCCUCAUCCUGUCUCUGAUGGCGCCAUGGGAAUCGUGCGCCUGCGAAUGUGAAAACAACUGCCCUGCCUCUGCCCCUGUGACCCGGAUCCCACUCCCCCACCCUCUGCCACCGUCAGGACUAAGGUGACGCGGAGGGGCUGUUGGCCCAAAGCCAGAGGCCUGGCUCUCAUUUGGGAGUGUGGCCUUGGGCAGUUCCACCCCAUUUUAGACGCCUGCCCCCCCAACCCCACUGCCCUUUAUCCCCUCCCAGCGUCCCACAGCCACAGAUGUACCAUGUGACCUCCCCACCAGCAGAGCUUUCAGACCAGGAGUGUGCUGGGACCCCUCCCCACCCCCCAUGAUCCCCAUGUGAGCCGGACUGAGUUCCCUUGCUCAGAAUCUGUACUUGGGAAGCAAGCCAGAGUUGUGAGGUAGGAGAGCCGGCACGCUGCCUGAGGGUUGUCAGCCAGUCCUUGGGCAGUGCCCCCUGACCUGGGUCUGGGUGGCCCAACACUGGCGCUGUGAUGCCAAUUCCCCAUGAUUCAAAUUGUUUGUAUAGACAGGGACCCUCAAAGGAAAAUGUGCCCGUGUCUGGCACAUUCUGGGACUCAUUCUUGCUCAUCUGUAAAACAGAAUAACUACAGAACUGUAGCAAGAUGAGGUAGGUGGUAGCUGGCAAACCAGGUCAGCAAGCCACAGCCCCACGACGUAAGGACUGCUUCACUCCAGCCCCCAGUGUCCUGAUGCCUACACUGCUCAGCUGCCUUCCAGGGCACUCCCAGGACAGAGCCUUCCAGUGGAUGACCCGCCAGGUCACACUGGCUCCUUACCAUGCCAGGAGCCUCCCAGGCCAGAUACAGGCCUUCCUUCGUCAAACUGUUCCCAUCCCGGAAUGUCCUCCACUCCUAUUGCCUUCACAAAUCCGGCUCCGCCCAAAAACCACCUCCUCCAGGAAGCCUUCUCUGACCACCCCAUCCAUCUUGGAGCUCCCACCUCUGGAUGCCUGGAGCAGUGUUUCACACUGUCUGCUACACGCACCACCUGAACAAGAAAGAGGCUCUGUGGAACCUUGUCGUCACACAUCCCACAAACUCACUUAUUCCCUUAGGAUAAAUUCCCAGGUAUGGAUUGAUUCCUGGGUCGGCCUACAGGCACAUUUUUAAGACAACUGGCAUGUAAAACAAAGUGCUUUCCAGAAAGAUUGCAACAUACCAUUUUCAUUAACAAUAAAUGAAAAUAAAAUUUUUAAAUUGUCAA